AAUCUUUGAUCCCCACCUGAACGGGGUGUUGUAUGCUGACUGGCCGAGCACCAGUCCACACAGCAAAGGUCACGUGCUCACCUUGCGGCUGUCACUGCACUCUGCUGUCGGUGCUUCAAGAAUCCAAAUGUGUUGCUGAGGUCCCGUGAGGCAUUCGUUCCUGGGCGAAAGGGGUCUUCCAUGCUGUUGGCUCUGGAGCCUCUCGUCUCACAGGUCUCCACAGGUGCAGGCUGCUCACCGUCUGGUGCUCAGGACCAUAAAGGACAGGCUUAUGUUAAAGGUUUUGCCUCGAACCAGGAGGUGAGGACCCUUUUUGUCCGGUUGCUGGAAUGAUGUCAUGAGGAGCUUUGUGCCAGGCAUGCUAUGCUAGUUAUAACACGUGUUUUUGUUUCAUUCCCCACACACUGUAAGGUGGGCAUCACUGGGCCCAUCACACAGGUGAAACGGAAGCCUGGAGAUCGCUCAUCGCCUUGUCUAGUCAUAUAACCAGUAGCCAAGGCAGAAUUUGAACUCAGGUUGCCCUCAGUUCCAAAACCUGUGUACUUAACCCAUGUUCUCUCCUGCUGGUGUCUGUGUGAUGCCCCAUGUCUGUCUCUCCCUAAAGGGACAGUGACACACCAACAGGAUACCCAGAUGCUGGGGGGCCUUGGGACAGAGUCUGAGAGGAUUGAGUGAAGGAGCAGGUGAGGGUGAGCCUGGAGAGAGAAUGCCCUGGUGGAGAGUUUAGGUAGAAAGGGGAUUAGGUCUCCGGGAGGAACCAGAUCCAUGUGGUCUGCUGAGGUGACUGGGUCUGGCAUCCAGAUGUGCCACCCAACAGAAAGGCCGUGGAGGGACGCCCCCCCCUUGCUGGGGGGCAGCCGUGGGAUUCCAGGGUCUGCCUUGGAGGUCCUGGAGAGGAUGUCAUGGCCCUGGCCCUAGACUCAAACUGCCUGGGUCCAGUUCAGCCCGGCCACUCCUGCUGUGGGCCCUAGCCAGGGGCCUUCACACCACCGAGUGCUAUCUGUUGGAUGUGUGGUGUCACCCAGGCCAUGUGCUUAGCCGUGUGCCUGACAGCCAGUGCUGAUGUCAGCCAUUACAGGGACACACGUGCCUGGAGGUUGAGGCCACGUUCUGUCAUCUGGGCCCACUCAUGUGGUCCUGGGCUGUGCCCGCCCCCACUUCGAAAGGAAUCCUUUUUGCCUGUGGCAUAGACUCUCAUUGUCCUAGUGAACAGCUACAUCUUUUUAACAAGCCAGGAAAGGCCAGCUGGCAGUGGCUCUGCCUGUAUCCCAACACUGGGUGGCCGAAGCAGGAGGAUCACUUCAGGCUAGCCCGGCCAACGUAAGCAAGACUCUGUCUCUACUAAAAAAAACAAAAAAGACCAACCAGCCGCAACCACAGAUACACCUGGGGUUCACAGGGGGCCUGGGGACCCUGAGUGGCGUCAGGUAUCAUCCUUCGCCCUGGCUCUCUCUGGAGACUCACGCAGUGGCCCCAACUACAGGAAUCUUUAAGAUGAGAUGCAAAUAGUGACUCCCCCUUUGGCCCCCUCCCCUGUACAGGACACUCAAGUUUAGAUCUUCCUUUGCACACACACUUGUCCUUUCCGUGCAGAGCGUGUCCUACAUACGAUGGCUCCAAGGAGACCUCCUGGGAAAGCCACGCACAGUAGGUGAGCCUGGCGCACAGUGAUGGCCCUGGGACCUGCUGAGCCCUCAUCUCUGUGCCUCAGGCCAAUGGUUUGUGGACAUGAUCCUACCCAGGGCUCUCAGAUCCAUUUUUCAGGAGAAACCCCAGGUCUGGCCUAGGCCUGAGCUCUGAAGCCCUCACUGCCAGGCUGCCUCCCUCCCGCGGCGGGGGAGGGUGCUGCCCACUGGAAAUAACGCCAGGGUCAACUUAGAUUUUGAUUUCACAGGACACAAAAUAGAGAGUCAAGGAUAUGCAAAAGGUUUGUCUCCCUUUUUAUAUACAGAUUAGAUAGACGUUUCUAGAGCAAUAUUGAAAUUCUUCAUUAAAAACAUGGCUGGUGCCACCCCCUUAAUUGGAUAUUAACUCAUGGAAUAUUGGUUUCAUUUGCUGGUAACAAGGAGGCAUUGCAGGUGAGUGUCCUAGAAAUCCGGAUUCCUGGCCUCACCCCAGUUUGACUGGAUCAUCUGUUCCUUGGGAAGGGACUGGGAAUCUCUUUCAAAAGCUCCCCAGAGCAAGCAGCUACUGGAGCUGUGCCCCAACAGUCCCUAAGCCUCUGCCCAAGAGAACUGAAAACAAGCUGUUCAAAGACCUCCGUGUGGAAGUUCCCACCUGCACUAUUCGCAGUAGCCAGAAGGUGGGGCCAGUCCUCACGCCCAGCAGCGAUGGCCACGUGGACAAAGGUGGCCUCUCCGUGCCACUGAACAUGGCCAUACAAAGAAACGAAGUGCUCACACAUGCUCCCCAGUACGGGAACCCCAAGAACAUGCUGAGUAAAAGAAGCCAGCCACAGAAGGCCACGUCAUGUAUGAUGGAAUAGCCACAGUAAACAGAUUGCACAAAAACAGGAAGUCCAGCAGUGGUUGCCAGGAGCUGGGGGAAGGGAUGUGCCUUUGGGGCUGUUGAAAAUGUUCUGGAAUUAGAUAGUGGUGAUACUGGCACAACGCUGUGAGUACUUAAAGCCACUGGACUGCGCUCUAAAAUGGUAAGCCCCAGAUGGAGUUAAAGCGAAUUUUAUGUCAUGUUAACUC